UACGAAGGGUGCAAACGUUGCUCGGAAUUAUUGGGCGUAAAGGGCGCGUAGGCGGCCUUCUAAGUCAGACGUGAAAUCCCCGGGCUCAACCCGGGAACUGCGUCUGAUACUGGAUGGCUUGAGUUUGGGAGAGGGACGCGGAAUUCCAGGUGUAGCGGUGAAAUGCGUAGAGAUGUGGAGGAACACCGAUGGCGAAGGCAGCCCCUCGGCGUACACUAGA
rnacentral:rRNA from 1 species